rnacentral:rRNA from 1 species
CGAUUGACGGAGCGAAGCGACGUCAAAGCGUUCAUUAAAGUCGAGUUGGCUUAGGGAUACGUUCGUUGGGUAGGGGAGCGUUCUGUAAGCCUGUGAAGGUGUGUCGUGAGGCAUGCUGGAGGUAUCAGAAGUGCGAAUGCUGACAUAAGUAACGAUAAAGCGGGUGAAAAGCCCGCUCGCCGGAAGACCAAGGGUUCCUGUCCAACGUUAAUCGGGGCAGGGUGAGUCGACCCCUAAGGCGAGGCCGAAAGGCGUAGUCGAUGGGAAACGGGUUAAUAUUCCCGUACUUGGUGUUACUGCGAAGGGGGGACGGAGAAGGCUAUGUUGGCCGGGCGACGGUUGUCCCGGUUUAAGCGUGUAGGUGUGUGUUCCAGGUAAAUCCGGUU